rnacentral:rRNA from 1 species
AGAGUUUGAUCCUGGCUCAGGACGAACGCUGGCGGCGUGCUUAACACAUGCAAGUCGAGCGGUAAGGCCCUUUCGGGGGUACACGAGCGGCGAACGGGUGAGUAACACGUGGGUGACCUGCCCUCCACUCUGGGAUAAGCCCGGGAAACUGGGUCUAAUACCGGAUAGGACCACUGAUCGCAUGGUUGGUGGUGGAAAGUUUUUUCGGUGGGGGAUGGGCCCGCGGCCUAUCAGCUUGUUGGUGGGGUGAUGGCCUACCAAGGCGACGACGGGUAGCCGGCCUGAGAGGGCGACCGGCCACACUGGGACUGAGACACGGCCCAGACUCCUACGGGAGGCAGCAGUGGGGAAUAUUGCGCAAUGGGCGGAAGCCUGACGCAGCGACGCCGCGUGGGGGAUGACGGCCUUCGGGUUGUAAACCUCUUUCGCCAGGGACGAAGAGCAAUUGACGGUACCUGGAGAAGAAGCACCGGCCAACUACGUGCCAGCAGCCGCGGUAACACGUAGGGUGCGAGCGUUGUCCGGAAUUAUUGGGCGUAAAGAGCUCGUAGGCGGUGUGUCGCGUCGGCCGUGAAAACUUGGGGCUUAACUCUGAGCGUGCGGUCGAUACGGGCAUCACUUGAGUUCGGCAGGGGAGACUGGAAUUCCUGGUGUAGCGGUGAAAUGCGCAGAUAUCAGGAGGAACACCGGUGGCGAAGGCGGGUCUCUGGGCCGAUACUGACGCUGAGGAGCGAAAGCGUGGGGAGCGAACAGGAUUAGAUACCCUGGUAGUCCACGCCGUAAACGAUGAUAACUAGCUGUCAGGGUUCUUAGAACUUUGGUGGCGCAGCUAACGCAUUAAGUUAUCCGCCUGGGGAGUACGGUCGCAAGAUUAAAACUCAAAGGAAUUGACGGGGACCCGCACAAGCGGUGGAGCAUGU